GACGAACGCUGGCGGCGUGCUUAACACAUGCAAGUCGAGCGGAAAGGCCCUUUCGGGGGUACUCGAGCGGCGAACGGGUGAGUAACACGUGAGUAAUCUGCCCCUGGCUUUGGGAUAGCCACCGGAAACGGUGAUUAAUACCGGAUACGACCACUUCUCGCAUGGGAUGGUGGUGGAAAGUUUUUCGGCCAGGGAUGUGCUCGCGGCCAAUCAGCUUGAUGGUGAGGUAAUGGCUCACCAUGGCUUCGACGGGUAGCCGGCCUGAGAGGGUGACCGGUCACACUGGGACGGAGGCACGGCCCAGACUCCUACGGGAGGCAGCAGUGGGGAAUAUUGGACAAUGGGCGGAAGCCUGAUCCAGCAACGCCGCGUGAGGGAUGACGGCCUUCGGGUUGUAAACCUCUUUCAGCAGGGACGAAGCGCAAGUGACGGUACCUGCAGAAGAAGCACCGGCCAACUACGUGCCAGCCGCCGCCGUAA
rnacentral:rRNA from 1 species